GCCGCGGCGCUCGGGGCUGGCGGGCUCGGAUGGCGGCGGCGCAGGGCUCCUGAGCGGGCCGGGGCCAUGAGCGCCGCCCGGCCCCAGUUCAGCAUCGAUGACGCCUUCGAGCUGUCCCUGGAGGACGCGGGCCCGGGGCCCGAAUUCAGCGGGGUCGCCCGCUUCGGGCCGCUGCACUUCGAGCGCCGAGCCCGGUUCGAGGUGGCCGACGAGGACAAGCAGUCCCGGCUGCGCUACCAGAACCUGGAGAAUGAUGAGGAUGCAGCCCAAGCCUCUCCGGAGCCGGAUGGGGGAGUCAGCAUCAGGGAUUCCGGCCGAACGUCCAUCCGCAGCUCCCAGUGGUCCUUCAGCACCAUCAGCAACAGCACCCAGCGAUCCUACCAUGCCUGCUGCAGCUGGACGCAACACCCUUUGAUCCAGAAGAACCGCCGGGUAGUGCUGGCCUCCUUCCUACUCCUGCUGCUGGGGCUGGGUGAGGAAACUGAGGCCUUAAGAGGAGCAGGCCCGGUCUCCUGGACACACAGCCAGGAAAUCACACGUAGUGGAAAAUGGAGCCUGGUCCCAUGCUCCAAACUUUUCUUUUUUUUUAAUUAGCCAUUUAAUCCCUCAGGGAGCAAAAGAACAACAGCUACCAUUUAUUCUGUGGCUAUUUCAAGCCAGCCGCAGGGUAGGCUUCUUUCCGGCCUUACGGAGGUCACACAGAAAGUGAGAGGUGGGACCGUGACCCAGAACCAGUACAGAGACAAGUGCUCAGGGAUAUGCCCAUCCCCGUCGACAGGGAUGCUGAGCACCCUGCCGGCCCGACCCACGGAGCACCUGUCGCGUCCCCAUCCCUGGAGUCUGAGAGCUGAGGAGGACCGACCCCUCCCUGGCCCUCACCGGGUACACCUAUUGCCCAGAUGGGGAAAGCAAAGACCAGAGCAGACAGAUCUCCCAGCCAGAUGUUUUCUGACUCAUUCUACGGGGCUGAGGAAUCAGGAUCCCCAGCAGGGACCUAGGGUCGGGAUCAAGAGGGGCUCGUGAGGACAGCCCAGCCGCGGCAGCUGCUCUCCAUCUCCCAGCACGGUCAGAGUCCCCUAGCCAGAAAGCUGAGCAGCGUCCUCGCCUCGGCUCUGAGUGUCUACGUGUGGGGGGAGGGAGCCACCAACUUCUCCAGUCCCCGCUGCAAGCUGGGCACUGGUCAGACGGGCCACCUGCCUUAUCCCAUUUCAUUCUCUCUCCCAGUACCCACAAGGGCAAGCAUUAUUACCAUCCCAGUCCAGAAAUAAGGACAGAGGCUCAGCCAGGUAAAGGGACUUGCUCAGACCUCAGCUGUGAGGUAGAUGAGCUGGGAUUUAAACCCACAUCAGUGACAUUACCAGGCCUAUAAAGGGCCUUUGUAGGACUUAGAAGACACCUCCUCUGAGUGGGCAGGGUCGCCAGCCCUAAGCCAGGGUGGCAGGUAGUGUUUCAGCCCCCACCAUUCCUUUUUUCAGGGGCUCUAUACGGGGCACAAGUCACCUAACAGUCCAUGGUGGCCCCUCGAGCCUUCAAGCCAUAUCGCUCCCUUGCUGGAAAGCCCAGCUCCCCCACCGCCCCCAAUCCCAUCCUCUAAGCGGGGACCCAGGACUCUGUAGGUCUGAAAAGUUGAUCCAGCCAUGACUUCCCCAAACCCACUGUUCUCAGCCAAAGUUCACAUCCCUCGUUGGGGUCUACAGGCCCUGCCAGACUCCUCAAGCCCGGGCUCUUGCCUCUCCAGUCUUCCACUCUGGAAGCUCCUGGAAGGCCCCAAGUUCCUUCCAGACUCUAGGCCUUUGCCAUGUUGCUCCCUCCGCCCGGAGCAUUCCACUUCUUUUCUGCCUGCACCAAGCCCAUAGCAAAGCCUCCAGAGUCCAAGCGCCUCCUCCUUCCACAUGCAUCUCUCUGCGUCUCAGUUUCAUCUGUGAAAUGGGGAUGAUAAUACCUGUUUCAUUCAGUCACGGUGACAAUAAAGCAGUGCAGGUAACAAGCUUAGCCCAGUGCCUGGCAGCACCUGGUAAGUAACAACUAAAUGUUAGCUGCUAUAGCUGUCACCACCCCUGCUCAGCGUCAUUGCUACCGCCUCCAGGAAGCCCCUCCCGAUCCCCCAGGCUCCCCCUGCCGCCUGCUCUGGGCUGCCACACCCCCAUCACUGGAUUGUAGCUUGGAGUUUCUUGUUGGUUGCACCACUAGGGAAGGGCCAUGAGGGCAGGGACCUCAUUCGCUUUUCCCUGUGGGAUUCCCAGUCCCAGGCACACAGCAGGUGUUCCAUAAAUGUUUGUCGAUUGACUAAAGGCCACACCACGGAGCAGAGGAAAAUCUCACUUCAGACAUUUCCCAGGCCCUGCCAGGUGCCCUGCUCUGAAAACACAGAGCUUGCGCUGAUCCUGAUCGCCGUGGGACUGGAGGUGGCCCCCUCGCCAGGUGUCUCCAGCGCCAUCUUCUUCGUGCCCGGCUUCCUGCUGUUGGUCCCGG